AGCACACAGAGCCCUCGCAGGAUGGUGGGACCUGGCAGCUGCAGCAACCCGUUAUCUCCUGUGCGCGUUGGCCAGCGGUGUGUAGAAGGGCAGACACUCUUCCAGGUUGUUGGCUCUUUGGGACUCUUCAGGGCUGCAAACCUUUCCAGAGAUUAG
rnacentral:lncRNA from 1 species